rnacentral:lncRNA from 1 species
AUGCAUUAAUGUGGAUGGGAUUCUUGGACGGCCGGCGGUAGCAAACAGUGACCACAGGUAGUGGGUGGACUGUAUCCAGUCGGCAGAAACCAUCAGAUCAGGGGGUUGUGUCAGAGGUAGUGGGUGACACGAUAAAUCGGGCUAGAGAGCAUAUCAUAGCGAGGGGGUCUUCAAAGAAAAAGGUACACACACAUAACUGAUAAUUUUAUCUCUCUUAAUACACUAGAUAUUUUAUCCUCCAUUGUUAACCCUUGUGAUCGCCUGUACUGACUCUCACGCCUGAGCUAUCCCCCGACGGUCGAAGCCAUCAAACUUUUGGUGUUGACAGUGUUUAGUGUGCAGGAUCAGAACGUCUUACGUGAUUGGGACGUGGCAGAAGAUCUUGACGACCAAAAAAC